CUAACACAUGCGAGUCGAGCGGAAACGACAACAUUGAAUCUUCGGAGGAUUUGUUAGGCGUCGAGCGGCGGACGGGUGAGUAAUGCCUAGGAAAUUGCCUUGAUGUGGGGGAUAACCAUUGGAAACGAUGGCUAAUACCGCAUAAUGCCUACGGGCCAAAGAGGGGGAUCUUCGGACCUCUCGCGUCAAGAUAUGCCUAGGUGGGAUUAGCUAGUUGGUGAGGUAAUGGCUCACCAAGGCGACGAUCCCUAGCUGGUCUGAGAGGAUGAUCAGCCACACUGGAACUGAGACACGGUCCAGACUCCUACGGGAGGCAGCAGUGGGGAAUAUUGCACAAUGGGCGAAAGCCUGAUGCAGCCAUGCCGCGUGUAUGAAGAAGGCCUUCGGGUUGUAAAGUACUUUCAGUUGUGAGGAAGGGGGUAACGUUAAUAGCGUUAUCUCUUGACGUUAGCAACAGAAGAAGCACCGGCUAACUCCGUGCCAGCAGCCGCGGUAAUACGGAGGGUGCGAGCGUUAAUCGGAAUUACUGGGCGUAAAGCGCAUGCAGGUGGUUCAUUAAGUCAGAUGUGAAAGCCCGGGGCUCAACCUCGGAACUGCAUUUGAAACUGGUGAACUAAAGUGCUGUAGAGGGGGGUAGAAUUUCAGGUGUAACGGUGAAAUGCGUAUAGAU
rnacentral:rRNA from 1 species